ACCUUGUUGCUUCGGGGGGCCCGCCUUUACUGGCCGCCGGGGGGCUCACGCUCCCGGGCCCGCGCCCGCCGAAGACACCCCCGAACUCUGUCUGAAGAUUGCAGUCUGAGUGAAAACGAAAUUAUUUAAAACUUUCAACAACGGAUCUCUUGGUUCCGGCAUCGAUGAAGAACGCAGCGAAAUGCGAUACGUAAUGUGAAUUGCAAAUUCAGUGAAUCAUCGAGUCUUUGAACGCACAUUGCGCCCCCUGGUAUUCCGGGGGGCAUGCCUGUCCGAGCGUCAUUGCUGCCCUCAAGCCCGGUUUGUGUGUUGGGCCCCGUCCCCCGAUCCCGGGGGACGGGCCCGAAAGGCAGCGGCGGCACCGCGUCCGGUCCUCGAGCGUAUGGGGCUUUGUCACCCGCUCCGUAGGCCCGGCCGGCGCCUGCCGAUCAACCCCAAAUUUU
rnacentral:sRNA from 1 species